rnacentral:rRNA from 1 species
UACGAGGGGGGCGAGCGUUGUUCGGAAUUAUUGGGCGUAAAGGGUGCGUAGGCGGUUCCGCAAGUCCUGUGUGAAAUCUUCGGGCUCAACUCGAAGUCUGCACGGGAAACUGCGGGGCUUGAGUGUGGGAGAGGUGAGUGGAAUUCCUGGUGUAGCGGUGAAAUGCGCAGAUAUCAGGAAGAACACCCGUGGCGAAGGCGGCUCUCUGGGACGGUACUGACGCUGAGACGCGAAAGCGUGGGGAGCGAACAGG